GGAGCUGUGUCACCGUCUGCGCAUCCCUUCUGCGCAUACACAAACUUGAUAAAGUUGGCCCAACCUUUUCAAGUUUGAGAUUCCAAUAUGGCGUCCAUACCAGGCACUACUCAUGGCGGUACAAGACAGAAUACCGGCCGAAAGAAAAUGUUUUCAGAUAAAAAGCAGCGCAGGAAAUCAUGGGGUAAGGCACACAGAAGGAUAUACUUGACAUUGAAUAUAUUCAAAACAUGGUCCGAUGCGAAAAUAAUGGCUG